ensembl:lncRNA uncharacterized LOC114795987
UGGUUUAAUAAUUUAACUGUUCACAAACAUGACAAGGUUCAUCUGACUGUGUUCCGAAAUGUUUGGUGUCUGACGUAAUGGUGUGAUGAGCAGCUAGCCAGAUGUGAAUCGUGCUGGGUGUGUCUAAAACCGCUCUGCAUGCGACACCCGGAGCACUGUGUCUCCGACAUUCAGCUCGACAGACACGGAACUGAGGCUGAGGAGAACCUGAACGAUGGAACAGAGGACAAAUAGAAGAGGGGUAACUGAGCAUUUUGUCAAAAGCCAACAUGUAAAUCUACAAACCCUGCGAAAGAUACACAAAAAUGACUACCUGUGCAAAGAUAGAGAAAAUGAAAAUUGCCUGAGGUUGUCUUCUGAAAAUAAUAUAGUUCCACGUUAUCCGGCACCAGUGGAGUUUCAUGUGUCCAAAGUUGCCCAUGUUACCACUCAGACCAACAUGGAUGGGAUUUUGAGCUCCAGUGGCUUCAAAGGCAAAGAGGGACUUGUGUGGUGGGGACUUAGGAUUGGACAAGAGGAGAUCAAUGCAGCACAGGAGCGCUACCUGGAGACCCUGUUCCCCAACAGAAGCCCAGAGCAGAGAGAAGCUCAACAGCCGUUUCUCCAACAGUUCACCACCUCUCCUGCGUUCCUGGACAGCUCUCGCUACGGAAACUUUUGUUUCUCCUUCCAGCUGGAUGAGCUGAUGAAGACCUACCAGGAGCAGAUAUGUGGAGGACAGGAGCCAAGACUGAGGGUCCAUAAGACUGUGGUCUACAGACAGGAGAUCAUGUACUCAGUAGUGGUUCAUAGUCCUGAGGUAGAGGACUUUAAUGAAUAUCAAGAGCUUCAUGAUAACGAUGCUGUUUGUAGCUAUAGGGAGGGGAAGAUUAUCUGGCGUGCACAAGCCAUGAGUGGAACACACCGUUUCAGACUAAUUCAGAAUCAUGAUGAGCAGCACGUUGAGGCUGAGCCUGCUUGCCCACCAGAGUAUUACAUGUGGGACAAUAUUUGCCUGGUCUUUCACAUCCCAGAGGAUAAAACUUUCACUUUUUCCCCCCCGGAGAUGCUGGUGAACAACCUGACAGCUUGUCACAUUGGGAGCGAACCACUGAGUCCUAGUAUACCGUAUGAUGAGGCCCAAAAAAUAGUAGAAAGUAAAAAGUUACAUAAAGUUAGUAAUUAGUGAGAUAUUGCGAUGCAUGCUACAUGCUGCAUACCCAGGCAUUCAUGACAUAUAACCUUAAUACAUUUUUAAUAGUUUACUAUUUCGUAGAAAUAUUUUUCAGUACUGUUUUUAACAUACUGAAGUACUGUUAGUGUAACAUCAUGUGGAUUUGGGCAUGGUCAGAUAAUAACACUGAAUCAGCACAAGAUAAGUAAAUGUAAAAUAUAUACUUUUUUACAUGUACAAAAUCACAUGCCACAUGCUAGAAAUAUUUUCAUCUGGUCAUGCCUGAUGUUGCAUCCGUGUCAUUGAUCAGUCCCCAUGUGGAAAUUGUAACCUAUUCUGGCUUUGGGCACCAUCUGAUGGAUCACAAUACAUUGCAGCUGUAGACAAUGUUAAAGGUUUAUUACUUGUAUAACCAUGUUAUUAAUUUCAUAUGUAGGGUAUUUGGGUUUUGUUAUUUACAUUGUGUCAAUUUAUUUUCCAAUCGUAGCAUUAUAAUAAUCCUUAUUUUAUCCAAGAGAUAUCAGAGUCUGAUGAAAGGCUUGCUGUUUUGCGAUGGAAAUACAAUUUUUAUGAGGAAGUAAAUAAGUGUGUUGUGUCACAGUGAACCUAUUACAGUGGACUCACAAUCAAAUGUGAAACUUUACAAUUGACAGUCUGGUAUGAACUAAAUAUAUUUAGAGAUGGUCUAGUCUUUCUGUGAUUUCAAUCAUCAAUUUCAAUCAAUUUCAAGUUGCUAUAAAAUGUUUGUAAAUUAUUAUUCAUAUGCAAGCAUACACAUACACAGGUAAAAUAGAAAACCACAUGACCAUACAGAUGUAUCAUUGAAAUGAGCAUGUUCAAUGAAGGGGGGACCAGGUAUCAUGAAACUUUUUCCUGUCUAUGCCACACUGAUAGCUUCUCAAGGGUCAUCACGGCAAGCACAGUCUUAACCCACUUGUUUGAAGGUAGAGGGUGCUGGCCUUUGAGGCAUUACACAACUUGUGUUCUGAGAUUAUAUCAAAAACAGCUACCA